rnacentral:rRNA from 1 species
AACGAACGCUGGCGGCAUGCCUAACACAUGCAAGUCGAACGAGACCUUCGGGUCUAGUUGCGCACGGGUGCGUAACGCGUGGGAACCUGCCUUUAGGUUCGGAAUAACUCAGAGCAAUUUGAGCUAAUACCGGAUGAUGUCUUCGGACCAAUGAUUUAUCGCCUUGAGAUGGGGACGAGUUGGAUUAGCUAGUUGGUGGGGUAAAGGCCUACCAAGGCGAAGUUGCAUAGCUGGUCCGGGAGGAUGACCCGCCACCCUGGGACAGGAACACGGCCCAGACCUCCAGCGGAAGCAGCAGUGGUGAAUAUUGGACGAUGGGCGAGAGCCUGAUCCAGCAAGGCCGCGUGAGUGAUGAAGGCCUUAGGGUUGUAAAGCUCUUUUACCCGAGAUGAUAAUGACAGUAUCGGGAGAAUAAGCUCCGGCUAACUCCGUG